AAGACGCAGCGCGCCGCCCUAGCCAGCCGGCCACCGCCUCGCCGAAGCGGGACGCCAUCGGCGACCUGCCGAGUUCUUCGUCAUCCGUCGGCUCCCAUAUUUUCUACAUCUGUUUUCCACCAUUCUCCGCUCGUAGUUAGGUUUUUCGCUCCUUUGGUUCUCAUGAAUCGUCGGAACUCAUCUUGUUUUUUUCCUUCUUUUGAUAUCGGCUGGCGAUUUCUUUGGAUUCGAUGGAGAAUGAUGAUAUGGUUUUGUCGCCCCAGUCUUAGGAUCCGGCCUUCGGACCUGUGCUGAUUGACAUGUUAUCGAUUCUGACUCCGUCGUCAAUGCACUCGCCUCUCGUCGAGUUCUUGCUCUGCUCUUUGCAGAACUUGUUACUUUCUCUUCGAUUUUGUUGGCCUGAGGUUUGUUUCUUGGGGAAUCCGUGCUUUCUCCGGUUUUUACAUUCAGAGAAUGAUGAUCUGAUAUUGUCGCCCCAGUCUUAGGAUUCGCUCUCAUGGCGGACCUGUGCUGAUUGACAUACUUGUGAAUCUGACUCUUUGUAGAUUGAAUCAACUUGCUCUUUUGGUUCUUUUUGAGGCUUUAUUGAUUUCUGUCAGUAUGUGUUUGGGGUCUAUUAUUUCUGUCACUAGCCAAAUUAUUUUUGUUUUUCAAUCUUCAUCUGUCAACUUUUACCUUGUCUUUACCCCGUCCAAGAUCUGAUAACUCAGCUCACAAUUGCACAUAUCAGAGACAAAUCACAUCGACACGAGUACCGCAUUUAGACGGUGGUCGCUUUUCCAUCUGAACUCUGAAGCAAAUCACGUACGCCAACGCUGACAUGUGCCCGGCUAAUCACCUUAGAUCCCAUCCUAAUAGGAAAAAUGAAACAUUUAACAAAUCAAACAUAUGUCCGUUUAGUCCCUGCUCAAAUCAAACAUAUGUCUGUUUAGUCCCUGCUCAAAUCAGCAUAUGUUUGAUUUGUUAAAUGUUUCAUUUUUCGAACAUAUCCAACGUCUCCGUCCUCUUCGGCUGCCUCGGCAUCGCCUUCUAGUUGGCCGAGAUGGACUACGUCGCCAAGGCACCUCCCCCUCUCCCUCCGCCCCCCUCUAGUUUCUGCUAUGCUGUAGCAUCGGAAUCGCUCUCCUGAUUUAGCUGUUUAGUGUGAUUUCAUCGAAGGUUUAGGUUGAUCUGCUUCUUACUUGUACUUUAAUGUGACAAUUGAGGUGAUCACUGGAAAUCAUUGUUGUCUAAUGCUGGGAGAUUAGGACGAAAUGACCUCGAACAGUUUGACUAAACUAGAAUUUUUGUGUCUGAAUCAGAUAAUCGAAUUCAGAGGCUUCAGGCUGUGUUCUGUGUCUACUUUGUUUUGGCGUGAUUUAAUCCAAUGUUUAGUUUGUUCUACUGCUUAAUUGUACUUGUAUGUGGUUAUUGAGGUCAUCACUCGUAAUUAGUGUUGUCUAAGACUGGGACACUAGGACGAGUGGCCUCGAACAGAUCAAUUGAACCAGGGUUUUUGCAUCGGAAACAGAUCAUGAGAUUCAGAGGCUGUGUUCUGUGUUUGUUUGUCUGAGUGGAUACUCGAGGUGUUAGAACCUGAUCUGCUGCACUUUCCAGUUAUGACUAGACACUUGGAUAAUUCAUUACCACAGCAGGCACAGUGUGCAAUUAGUUUACUUUGGAUCGGUUGGUUGGUUGAUAGUGGUUGCUGUGUUGGUUUGGUUUCAGAUGACAGACGUUGUGGCCAUUGUAGUCUGGUUACCUAUCUGUCUGAUGUUUCUUGUGCUUCUCUGAUCCCUUCCUCUGAACUGUUUGCAGGUUGAUGAUUUGCUGGAGGCAUCCAAGUCGAUUUCAACAUUGCCCUCGAUGGUUGAGUUAGACAUUCAGAAUGACACUGUCAUGAAACCAGGGAGCCAUACAAGGAAUAUGCUUAGAGUCAAGCGCAGGAUUGAUAUGGUUAAGGUUCUGUUCGAGCAAAUACUAGUUACAGAGGGCAACUCGCUAAGGAUGCAGCAUCAGUAACUUAUGCUCAGGUGUUUACUCCUCACUAUGGAUGGGCCAUAAGGAAAGCAGUUGCUGCUGGAAUGAAGUCGCAGCUGUUGAAGAAACUGAAUGAAGAUGGUUAGUGACCAUGAUACGUUUCUACCUCUUUUUGAGUGACCAUGAUACGUUUCUACCCCAAGGAGUCAGCAAAAGUUCAAAUGCAGAACUUUGUCAGAUCAUCAGCAUCAGUAAUCCUCUACGUUGAAGACCUGUUUACCUCGAGGAAUUUAGGCGUACAGUGGUGAACAAAACUUACAUAUCUGGUAAAAAUACGAUUUUGUACAAUAUACGUGAUCGUAUUUGCUGAAAUAGAUAAUUAUUUUUUGUAUUUACAAUUUUAGCACAUGUAUUCGGGCGUACGCUGUGUCGAAAAUGAAUUUUUGGAACAGUGUGUUGAAUACAGUUAUUUUCGGCACAUCGUAUGUCGAAUAAAAAAAAAGCGUAUUUUGGCAUACGAUGUGCAGAAUACCAACUGUAUUCGGCACAUCGUGUGCUGAAAUACGCUUUUGCGUCACGUUGAGUCACGUCGCGUUUUACUUUUUUUUUGUUUUUUCUUUUUACUUUGUCCUUUUCGCUUUUUGCUUUCUUACAUGCUGCAUGUCUGUCUUCUCGUAAUGUGUAUGUUUUCUUGUCUGCUUGUUGAGUUUUUAAAUUGCAGCGCAGAGGCGAGCAGCAGAGAGUACAACGACUUUUGCUAAUUUGCGUUUGGAGCUGCAAGCAGAGGAGAGCAGAGCAGAGCAAAUUAGCGUAAGCUGUUGUGCUCUCCGUUGCUCGUCUCUGCGUUGCAAUUUAAAGGCUCAACGAGCAGACACGAAAAUAUGGGUCAUGUGGGAGAGCAGACAUGCAACGUGUGGUAGAAAACAAAAAGCAAAAAGAAAAAAGUAAAAAGGA